rnacentral:tRNA from 1 species
GCCCGGGUGGCUCAGUUGGUUGAGCGUCCGACUUCGGCUCAGGUCAUGAUCUCACAGUUUGUGGGUUCGAGCCCCACAUCAGGCU